CCUACGGGAGGCAGCAGUGGGGAAUAUUGGACAAUGGGCGAAAGCCUGAUCCAGCCAUGCCGCGUGUGUGAAGAAGGCCUUCGGGUUGUAAAGCACUUUCAGUGGGGAAGAAAGCCUUGGGGCUAAUACCCUCGAGGAAGGACAUCACCCACAGAAGAAGCACCGGCUAACUCCGUGCCAGCAGCCGCGGUAAUACGGAGGGUGCGAGCGUUAAUCGGAAUUACUGGGCGGAAAGCGCGCGUAGGCGGUCUGAUAAGCCGGUUGUGAAAGCCCCGGGCUCAACCUGGGAACGGCAUCCGGAACUGUCAGGCUAGAGUGCAGGAGAGGAAGGUAGAAUUCCCGGUGUAGCGGUGAAAUGCGUAGAGAUCGGGAGGAAUACCAGUGGCGAAGGCGGCCUUCUGGACUGACACUGACGCUGAGGUGCGAAAGCGUGGGUAGCAAACAGGAUUAGAUACCCGUGUAGUC
rnacentral:rRNA from 1 species